GACGAACGCUGGCGGCGUGCCUAAUACAUGCAAGUCGAGCGAAGUGGAGAGAGCUUGCUCUCGAAGCUUAGCGGCGAACGGGUGAGUAACACGUGGGCAACCUGCCCGAUAGACCGGGAUAACUUGGGGAAACUCAAGCUAAUACCGGAUAGGAUCAUUGACCGCCUGGUUGGUGAUGGAAAGUCUGAACGACACUAUCGGAUGGGCCCGCGGCGCAUUAGCUAGUUGGUGGGGUAACGGCCUACCAAGGCGACGAUGCGUAGCCGACCUGAGAGGGUGACCGGCCACACUGGGACUGAGACACGGCCCAGACUCCUACGGGAGGCAGCAGUAGGGAAUCUUCCACAAUGGGCGAAAGCCUGAUGGAGCAACGCCGCGUGAGUGAUGAAGGUUUUCGGAUCGUAAAACUCUGUUGUUAGGGAAGAACACCCGGGAGAGGAUCCCGGAAUGACGGUACCUGACGAGAAAGCCCCGGCUAACUACGUGCCAGCCGCCGCAGUAAAAC
rnacentral:rRNA from 1 species